rnacentral:rRNA from 1 species
UACGAAGGGGGCUAGCGUUGCUCGGAAUCACUGGGCGUAAAGGGUGCGUAGGCGGGUCUUUAAGUCAGGGGUGAAAUCCUGGAGCUCAACUCCAGAACUGCCUUUGAUACUGAGGAUCUUGAGUUCGGGAGAAGUGAGUGGAACUGCGAGUGUAGAGGUGAAAUUCGUAGAUAUUCGCAAGAACACCAGUGGCGAAGGCGGCUCACUGGCCCGAUACUGACGCUGAGGCACGAAAGCGUGGGGAGCAAACAGG